UACGAGGGGGGCGAGCGUUGUUCGGAAUUAUUGGGCGUAAAGGGUGCGUAGGCGGUUCCGCAAGUCCUGUGUGAAAUCUUCGGGCUCAACUCGAAGUCUGCACGGGAAACUGCGGGGCUUGAGUGUGGGAGAGGUGAGUGGAAUUCCCGGUGUAGCGGUGAAAUGCGUAGAUAUCAGGAGGAACACCGGUGGUGUAGACGGCUUACUGGACCAUAACUGACGCUGAGACACGAAAGCGUGGGUAGCAAACAGG
rnacentral:rRNA from 1 species